AUUGAACGCUGGCGGCAUGCUUUACACAUGCAAGUCGGACGGCAGCACAGAGAAGCUUGCUUCUUGGGUGGCGAGUGGCGAACGGGUGAGUAAUAUAUCGGAACGUACUGAGUAAUGGGGGAUAACUAAUCGAAAGAUUAGCUAAUACCGCAUAUUCUCUGAGGAGGAAAGCAGGGGACCUUCGGGCCUUGCGUUAUUCGAGCGGCCGAUAGCUGAUUAGCGAGUUGGUGGGGUAAAGGCCUACCAAGGCGACGAUCAGUAGCGGGUCUGAGAGGAUGAUCCGCCACACUGGGACUGGGACACGGCCCCGACUCCUACGGGAGGCAGCAGUGGGGAAUUUUGGACAAUGGGCGCAAGCCUGGUCCAGCCAUGCCGCGUGUCUGAAGAAGGCCUUCGGGUUGUAAAGGACUUUUGUCAGGGAAGAAAAGGCUGUUGCUAAUAUCGACAGCUGAUGACGGUACCUGAAGAAUAAGCACCGGCUAACUACGUG
rnacentral:rRNA from 1 species